rnacentral:lncRNA from 1 species
CCCGUGUCUGAGGCCUGUUGUUGCCCCUGUUUGCUCUAUUUUCAGCUGCUGCGGGGGAGAGGAAAGGCCUCCAUUGCAGCUGGUUUUUGGGUGCUCACAGCUUAAUGGACAGAGAGUGGCUACCCCAGUACAGAAAGUCCAAGCGCACACCUCAGCAGUUCAGGUGAGCAGCUGGGGCGGCUCUCGAGGGGAGGACAAUCACGUUGCUGAAGGUUUUUAUCACCAGCAUGCCACGCUGACCACGUGGAGGCCCGUGAGUUCCUUAAUACUGUGGUUCUCUCCGAACGGUGAUUGACAGAUGGUGCUUGGAUGACCCAUGACCCCAAGAGAAGAAAUGAACUUGAGAAAAUUCUGGAGAUGAAUCCUCAAAGCAGGGGUCGCUGAAUGUUUCCUUAAAGGGUCAGGAGGUGACUCGGGAGGUUUCCUCAGGUGGGAGCUGUACCAUUGUGACAUCUGUCCCUGACAGAGACCCACUCUGUGUGUGUGUGUG